GAUGAACGCUGGCGGCGCGCCUAACACAUGCAAGUCGAACGGCACCCCUCUCCGGAGGGAAGCGAGUGGCGAACGGCUGAGUAACACGUGGAGAACCUGCCCCCUCCCCCGGGAUAGCCGCCCGAAAGGACGGGUAAUACCGGAUACCCCGGGGUGCCGCAUGGCACCCCGGCUAAAGCCCCGACGGGAGGGGAUGGCUCCGCGGCCCAUCAGGUAGACGGCGGGGUGACGGCCCACCGUGCCGACAACGGGUAGCCGGGUUGAGAGACCGACCGGCCAGAUUGGGACUGAGACACGGCCCACACUCCUACGGGAGGCAGCAGUGGGGAAUCUUGCGCAAUGGGGGGAACCCUGACGCAGCGACGCCGCGUGCGGGACGGAGGCCUUCGGGUCGUAAACCGCUUUCAGCAGGGAAGAGUCAAGACUGUACCUGCAGAAGAAGCCCCGGCUAACUACGUGCCAGCAGCCGCGGUAAUACGUAGGGGGCGAGCGUUAUCCGGAUUCAUUGGGCGUAAAGCGCGCGUAGGCGGCCCGGCAGGCCGGGGGUCGAAGCGGGGGGCUCAACCCCCCGAAGCCCCCGGAACCUCCGCGGCUUGGGUCCGGUAGGGGAGGGUGGAACACCCGGUGUAGCGGUGGAAUGCGCAGAUAUCGGGUGGAACACCGGUGGCGAAGGCGGCCCUCUGGGCCGAGACCGACGCUGAGGCGCGAAAGCUGGGGGAGCGAACAGGAUUAGAUACCCUGGUAGUCCCAGCCGUAAACGAUGAAAAAAGGUGUGGGGGAGGAUCCCCCCGCGCCGCAGCCAACGCAUUAAGCGUCCUGUCUGGGGAGUACGGCCGCAAGGCUAAAAAUCAAAGGAAAUGACGGGGGCCCGCACAAGCAGCGGAGCAUGUGGCUUAAUUUGAAGCAACGCGGAGAACCUUAUCAGGGCUUGACAUAUGGGUGAAGCGGGGGAGACCCCGUGGCCGAGAGGAGCCCAUACAGGUGGCGCAUGGCUGUCGUCAGCUCGUGUCGUGAGAUGUUGGGUUAAGUCCCGCAACGAGCGCAACCCCCGCCGCGUGUUGCCAUCGGGUGAUGCCGGGAACCCACGCGGGACCGCCGCCGUCAAGGCGGAGGAGGGCGGGGAGGACGUCAAGUCAUCAUGCCCCUUAUGCCCUGGGCUGCACACGUGCUACAAUGGCCGGUACAGAGGGAUGCCACCCCGCGAGGGGGAGCGGAUCCCGGAAAGCCGGCCCCAGUUCGGAUUGGGGGCUGCAACCCGCCCCCACGAAGUCGGAGUUGCUAGUAAUCGCGGAUCAGCAUGCCGCGGUGAAAAAGUUCCCGGGCUUUGCAC
rnacentral:rRNA from 1 species